rnacentral:rRNA from 1 species
AUUGAACGCUGGCGGCAGGCCUAACACAUGCAAGUCGAACGAGUGGCGGACGGGUGAGUAAUGCUUGGGAAACUACCUGAUGGAGGGGGAUAACUACGGGAAACGGUAGCUAAUACCGCUUACCAUCGGAUGAGCCCAAGUGGGAUUAGGUAGUGGGUGGGGUAAAGGCUCACCAAGCCGACGAUCCCUAGCUGGUCUGAGAGGAUGACCAGCCACACUGGAACUGAGACACGGCCCAGACUCCUACGGGAGGCAGCAGGGGGGAAUAUUGCGCAAUGGGGGCAAGCCUGAUGCAGCCAUGCCGCGUGAAUGAAGAAGGCCUUCGGGUUGUAAAGUACUUUCAGUGGGGAGGCGUUAACUGCAGAAGAAGCACCGGCUAACUCCGUGCCAGCAGCCGCGGUAAUUC